rnacentral:rRNA from 1 species
GUCUACGGCCAUACCACCCUGAACGCGCCCGAUCUUGUCUGAUCUCAGAAGCUAAGCAGGGCCAGGCCUGGUUAGUACUUGGAUGGGAGAAAAGGAACAGAGGUUCAAAGGCC